GAUGAACGCUGGCGGCGUGCUUAACACAUGCAAGUCGAACGGAAAGGCCCAAGCUUGCUUGGGUACUCGAGUGGCGAACGGGUGAGUAACACGUGGGUGAUCUGCCCUGCACUUCGGGAUAAGCCUGGGAAACUGGGUCUAAUACCGGAUAGGACCACAUUUUGGAUGGUGUGGUGGAAAGUUUUUCGGUGUGGGAUGAGCUCGCGGCCUAUCAGCUUGUUGGUGGGGUAAUGGCCUACCAAGGCGUCGACGGGUAGCCGGCCUGAGAGGGUGUACGGCCACAUUGGGACUGAGAUACGGCCCAGACUCCUACGGGAGGCAGCAGUGGGGAAUAUUGCACAAUGGGCGCAAGCCUGAUGCAGCGACGCCGCGUGGGGGAUGACGGCCUUCGGGUUGUAAACUCCUUUCGCUAGGGACGAAGCGUUUUUGUGACGGUACCUGGAGAAGAAGCAUCGGCUAACUACGUG
rnacentral:rRNA from 1 species